UGAGGAAUAUUGGUCAAUGGGCGAGAGCCUGAACCAGCCAAGUAGCGUGCAGGAUGACGGCCCUAUGGGUUGUAAACUUCUUUUAUAUGGGAAUAAAGUGAGGGACGUGUCCCUUAUUGCAUGUACCAUAUGAAUAAGGACCGGCUAAUUCCGUGCCAGCAGCCGCGGUAAUACGGAAGGUCCAGGCGUUAUCCGGAUUUAUUGGGUUUAAAGGGAGCGUAGGCUGUUUGUUAAGCGUGUUGUGAAAUGUAAGGGCUCAACUUUUAGAUUGCAGCGCGAACUGGCAGACUUGAGUACGCACAACGUAGGCGGAAUUCAUGGUGUAGCGGUGAAAUGCUUAGAUAUCAUGACGAACUCCGAUUGCGAAGGCAGCUUACGGGAGCGCAACUGACGCUAAAGCUCGAAGGUGCGGGUAUCGAAAAGG
rnacentral:rRNA from 1 species